rnacentral:rRNA from 1 species
UACGAAGGGGGCUAGCGUUGCUCGGAAUCACUGGGCGUAAAGCGCACGUAGGCGGAUUGUUAAGUCAGGGGUGGAAGCCUGGAGCUCAACUCCAGAACUGCCCUUGAUACUGGCAAUCUCGAGUCCGGAAGAGGUAAGUGGAACUCCGAGUGUAGAGGUGAAAUUCGUAGAUAUUCGGAAGAACACCAGUGGCGAAGGCGGCUUACUGGUCCGGUACUGACGCUGAGGUGCGAAAGCGUGGGGAGCAAACAGG